rnacentral:rRNA from 1 species
CUUGAACGCUGGCGGAAGGCCUAACACAUGCAAGUCGAGCGCGCGUCGGACGUGUGAGUAAUGUAUGGGGAUCUGCCCGAUAUAGGGGGAUAACUACUUGAAACGGUGGCUACUACCGCAUACUAUCAGAUUAACCCAUAUGUGAGUAGCUAGUAGGUGGGGUAAAGGCUCACCUAGGGGACGCUAUCUAGCUUGUAUGAGAGGAUGAUCAGCCACACUGGGACUGAGACACGGCCCAGACUCCUACGGGAGGCAGCAGUGGGGAAUAUUUCACAAUGGGCGCAAGCCUGAUGCAGCCAUGCCGCGUGUAUGAAGAAGGCCUUAGGGUUGUAAAGUACUUUCAGCGGGGAGGCGUUACCCGCAGAAGAAGCACCGGCUAACUCCGUGCCAGCAGCCGCGGUAAUUC